UUCUUAUCCAGAGAAGCGGAGGGACUGGCCCCAUGAUGCUUCGGCAGCGGACUUUCGAAAAAGUACUGUGCCAAUUCCAGCAGGCGAUAGCCUGGGAGAUGAGAA
rnacentral:ncRNA from 2 species